AAGUCGUAACAAGGUUUCCGUAGGUGAACCUGCGGAAGGAUCAUUACCAAAGUAUUACUACUUACCACUUGUGAACAUAUUAUCUGUCCUUGGGGGAGGAAGAGGACUCGACAGUGUAUGUUAACGCAUGCCUGUGUUUUUCCUCUGACUCCCCCAGCGGGGUGCCCGCUGACUGCUUGCAGUUGUGGGUUCACUCUCGCACCAUAAAUAACCACAUGUGCAGUGUUUAAACUGGUGUAUAUACCUUUCUCUUUUUGAGAACUCAAAAAGAAUGACAACUUUUAACGGUGGAUCUCUUGGCUCGU
rnacentral:misc_RNA from 1 species